GACUCGAAUAAGAAAUUCUUUACAGGGCAUAUUUGCAGAAUUUGGAAUUUAACACGAAACCUACCAGGUCUCAAAAUUUCGUAUCUCUUCACACACUUGAGUGUUUCUGACAACUCCGAGGAACUGUAAAAAGAAGUGUUAUCCAGAGCUUACUUUGGGCCAAGAUCUCAUUUCACUUUUGUUGAAAAAGAGUUCCAAGCCCUCCAUUGAACGACCCAGCCUCUCCCUAAAAGGCAACUCAGUUGUCCUUGCCUCACCCUUCGGGAAGUCCAGAUCCAAACUCACAACCGGACCUGGAUCACCUUUGCUCACGCCCACCUGGGCCACAGGCUCUGGGAAGACUGCGCUUCUCUGGCUCUUCUCAUUCAAGGGAGCCAUUCUCCACUUCCCUCCAUGGUCUGCUUCCUGAGCAGGUCACUUCUCCGGGUCUGUGGCACCCCCAGCCACAGGGAGGAAGGGUAUCGCGGCUUAAACCUAGGAAGACGGCCCGAACCCGCCCUCUUGGCACCUGCAGCAGAAGUCUUCCUCCAGGACUUGUCCUAGCGGCACGCCUGUCUACGGCGGCCCGAAGGCCUAACAGCCAGACUGCGCAAGCGCCGUAUGGGUUUGCGUCACGUACGCUGACGUCACGCUCUCCAGCGACUCUUGAAACGUGGAGCUUUCGGUUUCCUGGGUUUGUUUUUCCACCAGGGAACAAGGACACAUCUUGGCUUGGACUGUAACACAGUCCGGGGUGCAUGGAUGGAGGGGCUCCGGUGCAUUGUGGGGACUUCAAAAACCCGC
rnacentral:lncRNA from 1 species